rnacentral:rRNA from 1 species
CACAAAUGAAUCAAAACUUUCAACAACGGAUCUCUUGGUUCUGGCAUCGAUGAAGAACGCAGCGAAAUGCGAUAAGUAAUGUGAAUUGCAGAAUUCAGUGAAUCAUCGAAUCUUUGAACGCACAUUGCGCCCUCUGGUAUUCCGGAGGGCAUGCCUGU